rnacentral:lncRNA from 1 species
GGCCCAGCAAAAUCAAAGUCAACGUCACAACCUAGGUUUAGGCAUUCACGUUUAUAUGCUGACUUAAUUUUACCACUUUUCUUUCCUGUAUUUGGUGAGAAAGUUGUAUCAAACGUCAACUUCAAGCCUUUGGCAAUCUGAUCUUCAAUUGCAAUUUCUGUUCCCAGAGUGUUAUCUGUGUUCCACUUUUCUGUGAAAGUCAGCCCAUACUCAGCCCACUUGUAUUUGGUCUCCAAGCUUCCAUUCACUUUUCCAGUGUCUGUGUUCGAUGAACCAGAUGUUGUGAAUUCCACUCCACUUGCAGAUUUUGUCUUCACAUCCAGUUUCACCAGCCCAAACCCAUAUCCUUUGUUGAAGAUAUCUCUGGCAGAUUUGCCAAGGUCUGCAUAUGAUGGAGGAAUCGCCAUUGGAGUCCUCGGCGCCUGGCACGCGAGCGACGCAGCCAUAGCUAGGCCAAUGCACAGACUCUUGCUAGCGUGGGAGGGCGGCGGGGCCGGGCGGAGCGGGACCGGGGGCGCGGGCGGGUCUCGCCGUGAGGAGGCCGCGCUGCUGCAGCCGCUGGCACUGGAGGGCGAAGUGAAGGAGACACCGAUCCGCCCGCCCGCCGCCGCCCCGCAGGACCCCGGUCGGCCGGGGCCGUCCCGCGAGGUGCCGGUCCCCACGGAGCUCCCCGCGCGCCCGUCCGACCGCCCCGAGCAACCCCAGAACGGGGACACGAGACACCGGCCGUGCGGAACGCCGUGCCCUCGGCGCGGAGCCGGGCGGGGGCGGCGCGGGCCGGCAGGCGCUGAUCCGGGCAGCCCCGGCGGCGGAGAGGGGUCCUCGGGGGUGGGCGGGGCCCGCGGAGGAGGGCGGCAACGGCCGCGCCCGGCACCCGCGACGCGUCCGCCGCUCCCCCCGCGCCGAGCGGGUGCGGCCCCGCGGGGUGCGGGACGGGUGGAGCGCCUGCCUUGGCUCGACUGCCUCCGUCAGUCUAGCGGCCCUCACGCGGAGAGCCCCGUACACCGGUCACGGGCCUCACCCGCGGCCCGCCUGGCAAAAGUGCGACCUGAGAAACUUCCGCCCCGUAACGCUGCCGCUCUGCCUCUGCUCACGGGAGGGCCCCGCGCACACCGGCACACACAGCGUGGCUCGGGGCGAGCAGCGACCCUGACAGCUCCGUACGCUGCGAUUCCGUUCGUCAGGAACGGCCGGACGACAGCGCAGUGAUCGCCUUGCGGCAGCCCAAGUCCUCCCAGGCCCAGCGGCUGCAGCGCGGGCACUCCCUACGAGCACUCACUAUGUUAGCCAUGGUCAGAACGCGUCAUAAAAGUGAAAGCGAUUUACAACUGCAAAUUAUAUUUGAAUAACAUGAAGAACAUGUUAACAAGCACUACCGGUUCCCCAUAACACAGGGUGCAACAGCAGUUUUCCAUGUUACUGGAGCAGACAGCCUGGCAGUAAGGCCCAGCAAUGCCCAUAGCAUCUAGUUCUGUCAGCUGGUAAGCAGUUGGGUCUUCUUUGCCUAAGCCCCGUGCUCGCCCAUCUGAAGACCCACCAGGUUAAUGCAUUUUAUCCAUGAAUUAAGAAAAAACACAUGGAGAGAACAAACAAUAGCCAGCCAGACUGAUUGCACUUGUAACAGAGGUCUUGUUGACUAAAAAUAGACCGUGGCAUAAGUUGUUCAUAAUGUAAGUUCAUUCUGAGUAGAAUUUCAGUUACUUACAUCAGAAUGGUAGGGUGAAGGUUUUUUUUUUUUUUUAUAUUAGUCAUGGUUUGGCUUUGUCAUUUUAAGCAAUCCAGUAAAGUACUUACUGCCCCACCCUGGAGGAAGAAGUUCUGAAUCACUUAUCUUAUGAAACAGUACAUACACAGUACACACACUCCACAGUGAAUGCUGCAGGCUUCUGCAGUUAGAGCCCAUCUCCAUUUCCCACACACUCCUACAAUCCCCCCUUGUACCCCACAGCAUAGCCUCAGAACCUCAGCAUACCACAAAAGGAAUGCCUUCAGGCCUGC